rnacentral:snRNA from 1 species
CUUUGUCUACAUUUGGGA